rnacentral:rRNA from 11 species
GACCUAAGCCGAGGCCGAAAGGCGUAGGCGAUGGACAACAGGUUGAUAUUCCUGUACCACCUCCUCACCGUUUGAGCAAUGGGGGGACGCAGGAGGAUAGGGUCAGCGCGCGACUGGUUGUGCGCGUCCAAGCAGUUAGGCGCCUCAAGUAGGCAAAUCCGCUUGAGUAGGCUGAGCUGUGAUGGCGAGGGAAAUAAAGUACCGAAGUGCCUGAUUCCACACUGCCAAGAAAAGCCUCUAGCGAGGUGAGAGGUGCCCGUACCGCAAACCGACACAGGUAGGCGAGGAGAGAAUCCUAAGGUGCGCGGGAGAACUCUCGUUAAGGAACUCGGCAAAAUGACCCCGUAACUUCGGGAGAAGGGGUGCUCCCUCGGGUGAAUAGCCCAGGGGAGCCGCAGUGAAAAGGCCCAAGCGACUGUUUAUCAAAAACACAGGUCUCUGCGAAGCCGUAAGGCGAAGUAUAGGGGCUGACACCUGCCCGGUGCUGGAAGGUUAAGGGGAGCGCUUAGCGCAAGCGAGG